rnacentral:rRNA from 1 species
AUUGAACGCUGGCGGCAUGCUUUACACAUGCAAGUCGAACGGCAGCGCGGGCUUCGGCCUGGCGGCGAGUGGCGAACGGGUGAGUAAUAUAUCGGAACGUACCCAAGAGUGGGGGAUAACGUAGCGAAAGUUACGCUAAUACCGCAUAAGAUCUAAGGAUGAAAGCAGGGGAUCGCAAGACCUUGGGCUCCUGGAGCGGCCGAUAUCUGGUUAGCUAGUUGGUGAGGUAAAGGCUCACCAAGGCAACGAUCAGUAGCUGGUCUGAGAGGACGGCCAGCCACACUGGAACUGAGAAACGGUCCAGACUGCUACGGGAGGCAGCAGUGGGGAAUUUUGGACAAUGGGGGCAACCCUGAUCCAGCAAUGCCGCGUGAGUGAAGAAGGCCUUCGGGUUGUAAAGCUCUUUUGUCAGGGAAGAAAAAGUCGUGGCUAAUAUCCACGGCUGCUGACGGUACCUGAAGAAUAAGCACCGGCUAACUACGUGCCAGCCGCCGCCGUAA